rnacentral:rRNA from 1 species
CCUACGGGAGGCAGCAGUGAGGAAUAUUGGUCAAUGGACGAGAGUCUGAACCAGCCAAGUAGCGUGAAGGAUGACUGCUCUAUGGGUUGUAAACUUCUUUUAUAUGGGAAUAAAAUGUUACACGUGUGGGAUUUUGUAUGUACCAUAUGAAUAAGGAUCGGCUAACUCCGUGCCAGCAGCCGCGGUAAUACGGAGGAUCCGAGCGUUAUCCGGAUUUAUUGGGUUUAAAGGGAGCGUAGGUGGAUUGUUAAGUCAGAUGUGAAAUUUUGCGGCGCAACUGUAAAAUUGCAUUUGAAACUGGCAGUCUUGAGUACAGUAGAGGUGGGCGGAAUUCGUGGUGUAGCGGUGAAAUGCUUAGAUAUCACGAAGAACUCCGAUUGCGAAGGCAGCUCACUGGACUGCAACUGACACUGAGGCUCGAAAGUGUGGGUAUCAAACAGGAUUAGAUACCCUUGUAGUC